UGUGCAAGUGACGAUAAAACAGACAGGGACAUCAGAACUCCUUCUGGAGGAUGGUGAAUUGUCGAUGGGAAUCUCUCUGAUGCGCUUAGUUAAUGUUUUGCCAAUGGUGCAUUUCAAAUGCACGUAUAAUCAGAUAUAGAUAAUGAUGAUAUAAGCUAAUAUUGCCACUACCUCUGAGGCA
rnacentral:sRNA from 1 species